rnacentral:rRNA from 1 species
UAGCGUAGGCAGCGAGCGUUGGUUCGGAAUUACUGGGCGUAAAGCGCGCGUAGGCGGCUUUGUAAGUCAAGACGGUGAAAGCCUGGAGCUCAACUCCAGAACUGCCUUUGAGACUGCAGUCGCUAGGAAUCAAUGGAGAGGUUAGUGGAAUUCCGAGUGUAGAGGUGAAAUUCGUGAGAUAUUCGGAAGAACACCGAGUGGCGAAGGCGACUAACUGACAUGUAUUGACGCUGAGGUGCGAAAGCGUGGGGAGCAACAGG